GACAGAGGGUGCAAACGUUGUUCGGAAUUACUGGGCGUAAAGCGCGUGUAGGCGGCUCUGCAAGUCGGGUGUGAAAUCCCUCAGCUUAACUGAGGAAGUGCGCCCGAAACUGCUUUGCUUGAGUGCCGGAGAGGAUGGCGGAAUUCCCCAAGUAGAGGUGAAAUUCGUAGAUAUGGGGAGGAACACCGGUGGCGAAGGCGGCCAUCUGGACGGUAACUGACGCUGAGACGCGAAAGCGUGGGUAGCAAACAGG
rnacentral:rRNA from 1 species